CGGGUCAGUGGCGGACGGGUGAGUAACGCGUGAGAAUCUGCCCUCAGGAGGGGGAUAACGGCUGGAAACGNGCCGCUAAUACCCCAUAUGCCGAGAGGUGAAAUGAAUUCGCCUGAGGAUGAGCUCGCGUCUGAUUAGCUAGUUGGUGGGGUAAAGGCCUACCAAGGCGACGAUCAGUAGCUGGUCUGAGAGGAUGAUCAGCCACACUGGGACUGAGACACGGCCCAGACUCCUACGGGAGGCAGCAGUGAGGAAUGUUCCGCAAUGGGCGAAAGCCUGACGGAGCAACGCCGCGUGAGGGAUGAAGGCCUCUGGGCUGUAACACCUCUUUUCUCAAGGAAGAAGACCUGACGGAUACUUAGACGGAAUAACGCCACGGCCUAAUUCCGUGCCAUGCAGUCCGCGGAUAAGUACGGGAGUGGCAAGCGUGGAGUC
rnacentral:rRNA from 1 species